AAAAUCACAAAUUCUAAAAAUCUAAUAAAAAUUUUCUUUUGUUGCAUAACAUAAGCUGCUGAGUGUCUUAAUAGACCUCUUUCAAGGCAAAUGGGUGCUGGUUAUUCUUCUCUUUGCUUUUCCGGCUCCAUUCACCAUCACUCUUUUCCUCUUAGUAGCUUUCAUUGUGAAUCAAAAUUCUCCUUCAAUCCCACCUGUAAAGAUCAAAGCUUUGAUAACCCUUUGAAAAGGAUUCCUUAUUUUCCUCAAACAGUCCGGCCCUCUGGUUGUGGUUUAGCUUCAAAAGUUGGGACUUUGAAGUGUGGGAAAAUGGGAGAGAUGGACAGUCAAAAGAGAGUUUCAGCAAUUACGAAACCCUUGUAGGAUUUGGAGAGUGUUGAUGAACGUUGGUUCAACAGAUAAUUUAUGAUGCUCUUGUUUGGAGCUCUCUUCAUGGCCCUGUUGUUGGAGACAAAAACGUGCAGGUCAGUGAUGAUCUUGAAUGUCCAUGGAUUAUUUGCAUUGUUAGCAUCAUACCUUUGUUUCCACCGAACUUGUUCUAUGCUGGCACUCCCUCCAACUGCUCACGCCUGAGUUUACUCAUUCACUAUGGAGAACACCUAGGAUUAGAUUCCAAAAAGAUCCCUGACAAAUCUUCAGUCAGUCAGUUUGCAGAAGCAAUGGUUAAAGCUUGGACGGAGUAUAAUAAUUCCAGGGCUGUAGUUAUGGUCGUGUUUCAAUCUGAAGACUGUAAAUUGUAUGACCAACACUGGCUUUGUUCUGUAUUGAAGGAAAAAUAUCCUUUAGUUUCUUGAGAGGCUUGUCUGGGAAAUUGUCAACAGGAUGAAAAAGGUGUUCGUAUGUGAAAGACUUUUGCUUAAAGAAAAUUAUUUUCAGAUUAUAAUAUCCAAAUAUUCGUUUUAAAUUCAGAAGCUCUUUAUAUAGCUCACUUACAGCUGCCUUCCUUAGCUUAAUAACACAUACAAUAUUACAACUAUUCAGAAAACAUUGGCAGAAAUUGAUGUGCAAGGGAAACUACUUCCUGAUGGAACUCUUCUUGUUAGUGGCCAACCAGUUUCACUUGUCUAUUUUAGAGCUGGUUAUGCACCAGCUGAUUAUCCUUCAGAAUCAGAAUGGAGAGCCAGGCUACGUAUGGAGCAGUCUUCUGCUAUAAAGUGUCCAUGUAUAUCUAUCAUUUAGCAGGCACCAAGAAGAUUCAAUAAGAACUUGCAAAAUCCAAUGUUCUUGAGAGAAUAGCAGCUUACCUGGGUAAAAACAGAGUUUUCUAAUUUGAUAAGAAAGAGGGCAUUGUGGAGUUUCAAUGACUCCGAGAUAAUCAGCAAAGCAAUCAAAAGACCUGAGCUAUAUGUCAUGAAGCCACAAAGAGAAGGCGGAGGUCCUAUAUUUCUAAUCUUCACUCUUCCACCUUUUUGUUUUUAACGGUUAUACAUUAGCUACUGCUGGGAAACAUGGUCUAUGAACAGUGUUUCACUAUUCCAUUUCAGGAAACAAUAUCUAUGGUGAACAUGUGAGGGAAACCCUUUUAAGGUUGAAAAAGGAAGGGAGCGAAGAAUAUGCUGCAUAAAUUCUUAUGCAAAGGAUAUUCCCAAGUGAAACCCUUGCAUAUCUGAUGCGUGAUGGUGUUUUUCAUAAAGAUCAAGCUAUAUCAGAACUUGGCAUAUAUGGUGCUUACUUAAGGAACAAGGACAAGGUGAUCAUGAAUGAACAAUGUGGUUAUUUGAUGUGGACAAAGAUUUCUCCUCAAAUGAAGGCGGGGUUGCAGCUGGAUUUUCCGUCUUGGACAGUAUAUAUUUAACUUGUUAGUUACUUUGAUUGUAUAAUUUAAGCCACGUGAUUCUGGUUCUAUACAAGAAACCAUGUCAAAGUAGAUGCAUUUUGCUCAAUUUAGUAUUUUCUUCAAAUUUGUGAAGGAAAAGAUUGUCAUGGAGAACAUGGUGGUUCCCCUGUUUUUUGUUGAGUAAUAAAAUUUUGAUGUGGGUUGUGUACCAAACCACUUUCUUCUAGAGCAA